CCAAGGUUGAUCGAAGUUGAACAUUCCUAUGGAACUCCCCUUCAGACGACUUCUCUGCGCUUGCCCAGCACCUUUCGUUUUAUGGACCAGGACCAAUUUCACCUCAGACCAUGGUCAAGUCAUAACUGACUGGAUAACGUUCUCUCAAGGACCUCCAAAACUCUCUAA
rnacentral:rRNA from 1 species